UGUAGUUCGCCAUUAAACCAACAGAAGAAGAGGAGUCACAGAAAUGAUGGCGAACAAAACCUGUCCUGUGGCUCCCUCUCCUGGAUCAAGAGAGAACGACUCAAUCUUCAUGCCGGCCACAACACGGCUCAUAUCAAGGUUGACAGUUAUCACGGGUUAGUGUCGUCUUUCACGCCUCGUCGGCCUUUAUAUGCAACUUAAUACAUAUGUAAAGUAUGUAAAUAUAACUGCAGUUCUCUGUAGGGAAUUAGUAGGGUAGAUGUGCUUAUCUAGGCGCACUAUCUUGUGGUUGCUGUAGCUAAACCUUGGGCUAGUUGUUGGGCAUUAAUCGUUUUAUUUCGCUGCAGUGCAAUAUUGUAGCUAACGUUCUUUGUAACAUUGCAACAUUAUAACAUUGUUUCAGCUAUGCUACAUCACCGUUACGGUGUAUCAUCUUGCAGACAUUUGUGAGCAUGUUUGCUUUGAAAAUGUUUUGUUUCUGUCCUGUGGUAAUUCAAGAGCAACAUAGCAAACUGAUUUUAGACGGCUAAUGAAACCUUAAUGACAAUAUCCCAUUUAAGUUCACUUUAACAUACACUCUCAUUUUCUUUAUAGUAGGCAAUAUUUAUUGGACAUAAAUGCAGUUGUCUUCACCGUCCCUUUUGAUGAGGGACAAAACAAUUGAAUACAUUUUAGAAGAAGGCUGUAACGUAAUAAAAUGUGGAAAAAGUCAAGGGGUCUGAAUACUUUCUGAAUGCACUGUAGAUAUAUAUGUAGAUAUGUAGAUAUUCCUGAAAAUGGAGGACGAGGACUUUGACAAGGUUAUCCAAGUCAUCUAAAGGUAUGACCCUUUGUUCUUAUUGUCCUGACCGGAAUCUAUUGAUACUGAACAAAAAUAUAAACACAACAUGCAAUCAUUUCAAAGAGUUACAUUUCAUAGAAGGAAAUCAGUCAGUUGAAAUAAAUUCAUUAGGCCCUAAUCUAUGGAUUUCACAUGACUGACUGGGCAGAGGUGCGGCCAUAGAUGGGCCUGGGAGGGCAUAGGCACACCCACUGGGGAGCCAGGCCCAGCCAAUCAGAAUUUGUUUUUCCUCACAAAUGGUAUUUAUUACAGACAGAAAUACUCUCUUUAGGUUCAGUGACACUUAUGUUGAUACACCCCGAAAUCAGAGAGUUAAAAUGUUAAAGUAAAUAGUGUUUCUUACCCUCGUAUUCUACAAAUCCUUCUAUCUUUCCCUCUAUCUCCCAGGCUACAUUUCUCCUGACUCAGGCUGUUGGAAAGGCUCUGGUUGCCAGUGGAGCUCCUAAACGCUCCAUCAUUACUGUGGGCAAGGUGGGCAAUAUUGAAAAGGCGAACUACUCUGCUUCCAAAGCAGUUGUGGAGGGCCUGACCAGAACUGCAGCCAACUAGCUGAGCAGCUUACGUCCAUGGUGCCACUGGGGAGGAUGGGAGAGCCUGCAGAGGAAGCUGAUGGAUCCUAAUGCAUAUUUCCAGUAGAGGACUCUGGCUACAUCACUGGAACCAGUAUUGAAGUAACAGAGGCCUUUUCAUUGGCUGAGACAACUUUCCAUCAUCCUCAUGAAGAUCCCAUCUAGGUCCAGUAAUUGUAUAUUGAUUCAACGUUCACACUGUGCCUUUGCGUGUGAUAAUACAACUGAUUGGGGAUUAAUCUUGUUUUGUAAAUCUAGUCAAUAUCUUACAGUGUAAAUGUGUUUGUGCAAUAAAUUAAAACCUGUGUAA